rnacentral:rRNA from 1 species
GAUACACGUAUCCAACCUGCCGUCUACUCUUGGACAGCCUUCUGAAAGGAAGAUUAAUACAAGAUGGCAUCAUGAGUUCACAUGUUCACAUGAUUAAAGGUAUUCCGGUAGACGAUGGGGAUGCGUUCCAUUAGAUAGUAGGCGGGGUAACGGCCCACCUAGUCUUCGAUGGAUAGGGGUUCUGAGAGGAAGGUCCCCCACAUUGGAACUGAGACACGGUCCAA